rnacentral:misc_RNA from 1 species
GAUGAAGAACGUAGCGAAAUGCGAUAAGUAAUGUGAAUUGCAGAAUUCAGUGAAUCAUCGAAUCUUUGAACGCACAUUGCGCCCGCUAGUAUUCUGGCGGGCAUGCCUGUCCGAGCGUCAUUUCAACCCUCAAGCCCCCGGGCUUGGUGUUGGGGAUCGGCGAGCCUCCGCGCCCGCCGUCCCCUAAAUCUAGUGGCGGUCUCGCUGUAGCUUCCUCUGCGUAGUAGCACACCUCGCACUGGGAAACAGCGCGGCCACGCCGUUAAACCCCCAACUUCUGAACGUUUGACCUCGGAUCAGGUAGGUAUACCCGCUGAACUUAAGCAUAUCAAUAAGCGGAGGA